CCAAUAGCGUAUAUUAAAGUUGUUGCAGUUAAAAAGCUCGUAGUUGAAUUUCGGGAUUGACGUGAUGGUCAUGCCUUAAGGGGUAUGAACUGUUGCAGUUGAUUUCUCACCUUCUGGAGAAACUUGAUGUCCUUUAUUGGGUGUCUUGCGGAUCCAGGACCUUUACCUUGAAAAAAUUAGAGUGUUUAAAGCAGGCAUUUUUGCUCGAAUACAUUAGCAUGGAAUAAUAGAAUAGGACGGCAUGGUUCUAUUUUGUUGGUUUCUAGGAUCACCGUAAUGAUUAAUAGGGAUAGUUGGGGGCAUUAGUAUUCAAUUGUCAGAGGUGAAAUUCUUGGAUUUAUUGAAGACUAACUACUGCGAAAGCAUUUGCCAAGGAUGUUUUCAUUAAUCAAGAACGAAAGUUAGGGGAUCGAAGACGAUCAGAUACCGUCGUAGUCUUAACCAUAAACUAUGCCGACUAGGAAUCAGACGAUGUUAAUUUUUUAAUGACUCGUUUGGCACCUUAC
rnacentral:rRNA from 1 species